UACGGAGGGUGCGAGCGUUGUCCGGAAUCACUGGGCGUAAAGGGCGCGUAGGCGGCGCGACAAGUCAACGGUGAAAGCCUGGGGCUCAACCCCGGGUCGGCCGUCGAUACUGUUGGGCUUGAGCACUGUAGAGGCAGGUGGAAUUCCGGGUGUAGCGGUGGAAUGCGUAGAGAUCCGGAAGAACACCGGUGGCGAAGGCGGCCUGCUGGGCAGUAGCUGACGCUGAGGCGCGACAGCGUGGGGAGCAAACAGG
rnacentral:rRNA from 1 species